GAGGGUAUAGCUCAGUGGUAGAAUGCCUGCUUAGCAUGCAUGACGUCCUGGGUUCAUUCCCCACUACUUUCA
rnacentral:tRNA from 1 species